CCUACGGGGGGCAGCAGUGGGGAAUAUUGCACAAUGGGCGCAAGCCUGAUGCAGCCAUGCCGCGUGUAUGAAGAAGGCCUUCGGGUUGUAAAGUACUUUCAGCGGGGAGGAAGGGAGUAAAGUUAAUACCUUUGCUCAUUGACGUUACCCGCAGAAGAAGCACCGGCUAACUCCGUGCCAGCAGCCGCGGUAAUACGGAGGGUGCAAGCGUUAAUCGGAAUUACUGGGCGUAAAGCGCACGCAGGCGGUUUGUUAAGUCAGAUGUGAAAUCCCCGGGCUCAACCUGGGAACUGCAUCUGAUACUGGCAAGCUUGAGUCUCGUAGAGGGGGGUAGAAUUCCAGGUGUAGCGGUGAAAUGCGUAGAGAUCUGGAGGAAUACCGGUGGCGAAGGCGGCCCCCUGGACGAAGACUGACGCUCAGGUGCGAAAGCGUGGGGAGCA
rnacentral:rRNA from 1 species